rnacentral:rRNA from 1 species
AGCGAACGUUUGCGGCGGGCCUAACACAUGCAAGUCGAACGCACUAGCAAUAGUGAGUGGCGCACGGGUGCGUAACACGUGGGUAAUCAACCCUUCAGCCUGGGAUAACGACUCGAAAGGGUCGCUAAUACCGGAUACGGCGCGAGAGGCUUCGGCUUCUCACGAGAAAGCCACGCAAGGGGCACUGAAGGACGAGCCUGCGGCCCAUCAGCUAGUUGGUGAGGUAAGAGCUCACCAAGGCUAAGACGGGUAGCUGGUCUGAGAGGAUGAUCAGCCACACUGGAACUGAGACACGGUCCAGACUCCUACGGGAGGCAGCAGUGGGGAAUAUUGCGCAAUGGGCGAAAGCCUGACGCAGCCACGCCGCGUGAGCGAUGAAGGCCUCGGUCGUAAGACUCUGUGGGAGGAGACGAAGAAGA